CCUACGGGAGGCAGCAGUGGGGAAUUUUGGACAAUGGACGAAAGUCUGAUCCAGCAAUGCCGCGUGCAGGACGAAGGCCUUCGGGUUGUAAACUGCUUUUGUACGGAACGAAAAAGUCUGCCUUAAUACGGUGGGCUCAUGACGGUACCGUAAGAAUAAGCACCGGCUAACUACGUGCCAGCAGCCGCGGUAAUACGUAGGGUGCGAGCGUUAAUCGGAAUUACUGGGCGUAAAGCGUGCGCAGGCGGUUAUAUAAGUCAGAUGUGAAAUCCCCGGGCUUAACCUGGGACCUGCAUUUGAGACUGUAUAGCUAGAGUACGGUAGAGGGGGAUGGAAUUCCGCGUGUAGCAGUGAAAUGCGUAGAUAUGCGGAGGAACACCGAUGGCGAAGGCAAUCCCCUGGACCUGUACUGACGCUCAUGCACGAAAGCGUGGGGAGCAAACAGGAUUAGAUACCCUGGUAGUCCACGCCCUAAACGAUGUCAACUGGUUGUUGGGUCUUCACUGACUCAGUAACGAAGCUAACGCGUGAAGUUGACCGCCUGGGGAGUACGGCCGCAAGGUUGAAACUCAAAGUAGAGNGNGNGNGAGAGCGACGACGACGACGACGGAGGAGGAGG
rnacentral:rRNA from 1 species